UGUGUGGUUGUUUUUGAGAGGGGAGCAACAGGAGAGUUCAAUACACUUCAAGCUCCUUUGGCGUUGCAGGUGGUUGAUCAAAUUCUGACUGACUGUUGAUGAUUUUCGGCGACUAUGGGCGACGUUGUUCUGCUGCUAAAUGGAGGAGGUCGGUUUCAUAUUGACAAUUAUGCUGGCUUGACACUUUGCUCAUUUAGAGGAAUUUUGAAGGAAAUGCUGCAACAUUUUGCUGCAGCAAAAUUUGAUAGCAAGCAACCUUGUGAGUGACAUCAACACAUGUCAAAAUUUGAUAGCAAGCAACCUUGUGAGUGACAUCAACACAUGUCAGAGCGAAGGAAAAAGACAAAGGUACAUAGGAGGAUGAUGCUCUACAGAGUCGUUUGGACUCAAUCACUCACUAGGUGCCACCUCAGCGUCCUUGGACACCUUAAUGAAGAGUACACCCAUUUCUAGAGAGGGCAGCAACAAAAAAAAAGAGAAUGAGAAACAAGUACCGAAUAGAGAAAAAAAGGGGCAGAGAGCUAAACUUGGUACUGUGGAGAACAUAAAGGAAUAAG